rnacentral:rRNA from 1 species
CCUACGGGAGGCAGCAGUGGGGAAUAUUGCGCAAUGGGCGAAAGCCUGACGCAGCGACGCCGCGUGAGGGAUGAAGGUCUUCGGAUCGUAAACCUCUGUCAGCAGGGAAGAACGGUCACUGUGCUAAUCAGCAGUGAAUUGACGGUACCUGCAAAGGAAGCACCGGCUAACUCCGUGCCAGCAGCCGCGGUAAUACGGAGGGUGCGAGCGUUAAUCGGAAUUACUGGGCGUAAAGCGCUCGUAGGCGGUAUGUCAAGUCAAGGGUGAAAUCCCCGCGCUCAACGUGGGAACUGCCUUUGAAACUGGCAAACUGGAGUGUGUGAGAGGAUAGUGGAAUUCCAGGUGUAGGGGUGAAAUGCGUAGAUAUCUGGAGGAACAUCAGUGGCGAAGGCGACUAUCUGGCACAUAACUGACGCUGAGGAGCGAAAGCGUGGGUAGCAAACAGGAUUAGAUACCCGAGUAGUC